GCCAAGCUCGGAGGAGGACAUCUGGUUGCACUUCUCUUAUCUGGGAGCUUCUCUCCGAGGGUCAGAGAUACCGCAGGAAUUGGGCAGAGGUGUACUUCAGCUUUCGAAUGCAUCAUUUGAAAACAAGAGAUGGCAUGCACUGAAGCUGGGAAAAUACCAUGCUUCAUAAAUUGAGGGGAAAAUUUGGCCUUCAUAAUGGAAAAUUCAGAGUGAAGUCCAGACUUUACUAGAGUCAGUGGAAAAACUCCCAUUGACCUUACAGGGGUCAUGGGUCUGCUUUACUUUCUAAGCUGCCACUCAGAGAGAUGGUGAGGAGAAAGCACUCUUAAUCUGUCCAUCCUGAGCCAGGAAUUAAAUAGAAUUCUUGGAUGCAGAAGCUCUGGCUUGAAAUUCCAUCUGAACAACAUUCAGAGCCCUACUACAUAAUCUCCAGCUAUCUAAGAAGAUUUCCACAGCUGGCAUCUCUAUGUCUAUUAUUAUUUCUACAUAUUGAAGUUGGUCCUCUAAUCAAUACAAUAUAAACUACAGCUGUGCCUGUGGCUUCUCCUCUCCAACCCUAAGUUCUCCCCUUCUCCAACACCAGCAUUCUUGGGAGCUGAAGCAGCAGGGAUUGAAAACAUCCAUAGACAUUCCCCAUGUUGUUUUUUGACUCCUGGAGGCAAUGGAGUGGGCAGUGAGAGCUGCAAGAGGGGCAGUAGGUCAGUGGGUAGUGAGAGCUGCAAGGGGGGCAGUGGACCAGUGGACAAUGGGCUGGAGAGACAGUUUCCUUGAGAACCUGGCCCAUAUGCAGGCUGCCUCAUGCUCACUAAUUUUCACCUGCCCUAGCCUAGCAGGUCAGAUUCAUACAGUCUGACAUGAGGAUGAGGGUGACAAAACCACCAUGUACUUGAUGGUCAAUCAUCAAGAAUGAAAUUCCUCAGUGUUUGCCCCCCAUUAGUGAUGGUCACUGCCUAUUAGCUGUCUUUUCUGUGUAUGAAGUUGCUAUUCAGGCAAAUAACUGAAGGCAAUAAAGCCUCAAACCAGCAGAGAGGUAAGGAAAAAUAAAACUGGGGAAAAAAAUUAAGGCUGUCCUUGCCGUGACAAAUAGUCACAAGAAUAAGUGAGCUUUAUUUUUGAAAUGUCUCUAUAAACAAAGACCCCCACACUCAAGCAUUUUUAUGAUUUGCGGUUUGUUUUUGCUGUUGUGCACACUAAUAAGAUAUGACUGUACCUGAACUGCCCUAAUGUUAUGAAUUUCCAGGCUGCUGGAAAGCUGGUAAACACAGCUGUUAUCAUAACAGUCUCCUCAGCAGGCAGGACAGCAAGCCUAAGCUGAGCAGCAGUUUCUCUAUCAUCCCUACCUGGAGAAUAUCUGGGAACAGCAUGGAUUACACGCAUGAGCAACCUGAUCCUGGGCCAGGGAAUUCAAAAGAUAUGAGUCAUGUCACCACACAAUUCAGCAGUGGGCAAGGUCAAAGAUAUCAGGAUGCACUAAAAUCAGGUGCCAAACAUGCGUAAGACAAUGUCAGUAUAUAAUUUCAAAUACAGAGUGCAGCCUGAAAUAAAUUUAUUUUUAUUAUAGGUUCCUUUUGGAAAAGUGCUCCUACAGUGGAGCUUUCAAAUUGGAAAUUGCAUCUAGCACAUUAUCUAUAGUUAUUGGGCCAUCCUAGUGUUGCCCCAGAGAUUACCUGAAUGAAUAGGAGUGGAAGAAUUGAUGCUAACAAUAAUUUAUAGCUACAUUUUUGUCAGUAUGAAGAGAGGAAAAUAGCACAAGUAGCACAUUGCCCAUGAAAUUAGCCAUUAGUAAUGUUUUAGUUUAAAUGGUUUGGGAAUGGAUCUGUGAGGUUUUUGCCUUGGUGAUGUAUUGGGUUUUGGGGGUAUUUUGGUUUGAUUAAUCUUACAAACUGAAAGGUGUCCAUUUAUGACUCUUUAUUGGUUCUUGACUUAAGUGUUUUGGGUGCCAUGACCUUUUGACAAAAAAUUACAAGUGAGUUAAGCAACACCCUUUGUACUGACCCUUAUCAGACCUUGAAAUGUGAGGUUUCAAGAAGCUGCAGAGGUGGCCAGUGUAUGAAAUGUAUUUAGAUUAUAUUUCACUAAGUAUAUAUCAACAAGUCUUUCAUACAGUAUUAUCCUUCAGAAUUUUGAUUUAGGAAACAUCAGGUAAGCUUUAAGUUUUUAUUAUUCUCUCUUUUUUUUUCUGCUUCCUUGUUAUGAAGACACAGUUAAAUAAUAUUCAGGAUAAAUAAAGUAAAGUCAUUGUUUCUUCUCUUUUUUUAACUCCUACCAAAUGUCCAAGCUUUUAACCAUAAACUAACUUGUGAGCUCCUACUGCAAAACUGUGAGUGCCUGAAAUCAACCUCUUAGCUGAUAAGUUGGCGUUUAAACAUCUCAUGUGUUGAUAGGACAAAAGAGCUUUUAUUUGUGUGUGCUUUGUCUAGCCUGGGUGAGCAAACAAGGUUUUCUAAUACUGGGUAGAGCACACUUAACAGUUCAUGAUCAACUUCUUAGAAAUGUUCCAAAUAGUUUAUUAAAUACUUAAUGUGUGGUAAAAUUCAAUUAUACACUGUUUCGCUGGUAACUACCCUUGCUGGUAAAAACUAUGACUUAUUUUUCCAAUUUUUUCCCCUGACUUCAAGUUUCACAACUGGAUUUUUGUCUGCUUGUUUCCUAUCAGUACAUUUAUGAGUACUAUUUUAAAUUCGUGUUUCAGACACAGUGGUGUAUUGAAUAAAAGAAGCGGAAAACACCAACACUGGUACAUGUUACCUCUUUAAGUUACUUUAUCCCCAAUAUGAAGUAAUCACAUAAUUUCAUACAAUUAAUUCAUUUACAUCUUCUCAGUUUCCAAAAAUAGGUGUCCUCCACUUCUCACUUUAAAUGGUAGUUCUUAUUAAAGCAAGAAGCUUGCUCUGAUCUUUCACUGCUUGAGCAUA